UAGCUUGCUACCUGACCUAGCGGCGGACGGGUGAGUAAUGCUUAGGAAUCUGCCUAUUAGUGGGGGACAACAUUCCGAAAGGAAUGCUAAUACCGCAUACGCCCUACGGGGGAAAGCAGGGGAUCUUCGGACCUUGCGCUAAUAGAUGAGCCUAAGUCAGAUUAGCUAGUUGGUGGGGUAAAGGCCUACCAAGGCGACGAUCUGUAGCGGGUCUGAGAGGAUGAUCCGCCACACUGGGACUGAGACACGGCCCAGACUCCUACGGGAGGCAGCAGUGGGGAAUAUUGGACAAUGGGCGAAAGCCUGAUCCAGCCAUGCCGCGUGUGUGAAGAAGGCCUUUUGGUUGUAAAGCACUUUAAGCGAGGAGGAGGCUACUUGGAUUAAUACUCUAGGAUAGUGGACGUUACUCGCAGAAUAAGCACCGGCUAACUCUGUGCCAGCAGCCGCGGUAAUACAGAGGGUGCGAGCGUUAAUCGGAUUUACUGGGCGUAAAGCGUGCGUAGGCGGCUUUUUAANUCGGAUGUGAAAUCCNUGAGCUUAACUUAGGAAUUGCNUUNGAUACUGGGAAGCUAGAGUAUGGGAGAGGAUGGUNGAAUUCCAGGUGUAGCGGUGAAACGCGUAGANAUCUGGAGGAAUACCGAUGGCGAAGGCAGCCNUCUGGCNUAAUACUGACGCUGAGGUACGAAAGCAUGGGGAGCAAACAGGAUUAGAUACCCUGGUAGUCCAUGCCGUAAACGAUGUUUAUUAGCCGUUGGGCCCUUUGAGGUUUUAGUGGCGCAGUUAACGGGAUAAGUAGACCGCCUGGGGAGUACGGUCGCAAGAUUAAAAUUCAAAUGAAUUGACGGGGGCCCCCCCAACCGGUGGAGCAUGUGGUUUAUUUGGAUGCAACGGGAAGAACCUUACUUGGUUUUGACAUAGUAAGAAUUUUCCAGAGAUGGAUUGUUGCCUUCGGGAACUUACAUACAGGUGCUGCAUGGCUGUGGUCAGCUUGUGUUGUGAGAUGUUGGGUUAAGUCCCGCAACGGGGGCAACCCUUUUCUUUAUUUGCCAGCGGUUUAAGCGGGCAAUUUAAAGGGAAUGCCCGUUGCCAACCGGGAGGAAGGGGGGGAGAAGUCCAAUUCUUCUGGGCCUUUAGGACCGGGGUUCCCCACUUGUUCAAUUGUUCGUUCCAAGGGUUGCCAACCUGGGAAUGGGAGGUUAUUCUCAAAAGCCGAUCGUAGUCCGGAUUGGAGUCUGCAACUC
rnacentral:rRNA from 1 species